rnacentral:miRNA from 1 species
AGAAUUCUAGGUCGGAGGGU